GCCAGAUUUGUUUUGGAAUUUAGCAUCUAUUUGACUUCAAAGAAGAAACAUGACACAUGUGUUGUAUAUUACACCCCUGCAGGGGCAGGCGGCACCUUAUCAUCACACUCAAGAAGCAUCUCAAUCAGAUGCCUGACGGCCACAUGAUGUAGGAUAAAUAAAGACUACAAACAGCUGCCUAUUCUUCCAGGCCCGCCAAGGACAGGAUGACAAUGAAUCCAUAAGAUCACAUGUAAAAGUGCUGAGCUUCCAGGAAAGCCCACACCAUCAAUGUCUUUAACCAAGCCAACAGUUGACCCAAUCACCAAAGGAGGGGUUGGCAAACUGCAUCGCAACAGCCAAACCUGGACCUUUGCUUAUUUUCAAAAAUGAAGUUACACUGGAGCUCAGCCAAGCUCAUUCAUUCAUUUAUGUAUCAUCUCAGGGUGCUUUUGUGCUAUGACAGCAAAGCCAAGGAGCUACAACAGGGACUACAGGACCUGCAAAGCUGGAAAUAUUUACUACCUGGCCCUUGACAGAAAAAAUUGGCUGAUCCUUGUUUACAAAAGUGACUGGCCAGGGCUCUUCCAAAGUGUCAAGUUCAUAAAAGACAAGGCGAGACUGAGAAAUUAUCAAGCAUUGGAGGAGAGGAUGGAGACACAACAACUAAAUGCCUGGACUGCAUCCUGGAAUAGAAAAAAAGCAUUAGUGGGAAAAUGGCUAAAUUUUGGAGGAGGAAAGCCUGUAAUUUGGUUACUAGUAUUGUACCAAUAUUCCUUUCUUGUUUUUUUUUUUUUCCUUUCUUGGUUUUGAGAAAACCAAGACGGUUAUGUAAGUUGUUAACACAAAGGGAAGCUGGGUGAAAAGUACACAGGAACUCUGCUAUAUUUGUGGAUUUUCUGUGAUUUUUUGAAGUCAAUCGAUUUCAAAACAAAAAGUUAAAAAAGCAUUGUGAUGACCUUCUGAGCCAAAAAGAACCAGCAUCACCUUCGAGGGUUUGUCUUUAUCUGCCUUAAAGGUAACUGAAGGGACACCUGGGUGGCUCAGCAGUUGAGUGUCUGCCUUCAGCUCAGGGCAUGAUCCUCAAAUCCCAGGAUCCUGUCCCACUUUGGGCUCCCUGCAUGAAGCCUGCUUCUCCCUCUGCCUGU